rnacentral:lncRNA from 1 species
UGGAAUUGGUGCUCCAGUGUCCUGCCUUUAUAUGUGCAGGGGGCGAAGGGACCUAGUUACUGGGCUGCCUACGAGGUUCAGGAGGUUCUCGGGCCCUUGGAGGUCCGAGUGGGGUAGGUACGAGAGCCUGGGAGUCCCCACUUCUGUGCUCCUCCUGCCCUGUGACCGCAGUGAACGUCCCGGCUACUCCACUCCGCUCCUCGAGCUCUUGUGUCCUGGGCUGUCAGGUAGUGGCCCCGCGGGAGGGUGUUUGCCGCGGCCUCCGUCACAGCCCGUCUGUGUCAGCGGCCACUCAGGGGUCGUCGUCUUUAGCUUUGUAUCUGCUUUUCGGAACAGGAGACCCUGGUUCGAAAGUCAACCAUACCGAGGUGAUGACCCAGCAUAUAGCUGGGCUGGGGACGUGAUAAGCCAGCCGAUCGACUGAGCACGGAUGAGGCAGGGUCUCCUGGCCUCCACCUGGCCGGACUCUGAGCCCCAGUGCCCGAGGUUCCCGACUAAGCCCAGGACUCGGUGUUCAGGUAGAGCGUUCUCAGGUAGGCGGUAUUAAUUUCAGAAUCCAGUAUGAUAUCAUGCGAAAGGUGCAGGGGGACGAAUGUGCAUGUGCAAGACUCGGAGGUGAGACUAACUUGAGAGCACUUAGGAAAGUUCUCAUGUCUCCACCGCGAAGGACCAAGAGCGUGAGGAGUCCUAUUUCUAUAGACAGGCUGAGGGUGCUGGGAUCCAUAGCAAAUUUUCAGAAGAUGGAUGGCCAAUAUCUGAGUUAGGUAAGAUUUUGAAACUAUCCUAGUGGAUGGUUUGUGUGUACACACUGAUGGGAGAGAGGUUGUGGUGGGGCUGAAAGCAUGCGGCUUGGUGAGGCUGCUGCUGCUGCAGAUAUUUUCCGGGUGGCCUGUUCAGAAUAGAAGUAGGAGAAAUAAUCAGAUUCCAGAUAGAUUUUUCAAGGUGGAAUCAAUGGGGUUUCCGAUUACAUAUGAAGAGUGAUGCCAGAGGCCCGCUCCGGCGGCCAGGGAGCGUCCUCUUUUUCCCGAUGGGAGAGGGAUGCGGCGUCCGCGAAUGAACAAUUACGGAGACAGCCUCUUUGUCCCUUCUUUCAGGGCGCUGGACUGCUCAAACUUUAUUGGCAUAAGUGGUUGAUUAUAUAGACAGUUUUUUGCUACAGAUUACAUCACAGUGUUAAAAGCACAUUGGUCAACUAUUACAUGGUAUAGCAGCCAUACAUCAUGUUUUAAGAUCUUUGUUUUAACUAAACUUAGUGGGUACAAUUUAGGGGCAAUUAGGUACAAUACAUCAUGUUUAAAGAUCUCUAUCUUAACUAAACUUAGUGAGUACAAUUUAAGGGCAAUUAGGUACAAUACAUCAUGGAAAGGAGGCGACUACAAAUCAUCCCAUGGCCAGCCAGUCUUUACAAUUUGAAGAGUUCACAGACACAAGAAUUUGGCAUUCUCAAAUCUUGUUUUUAGACUGGUGCUUAUCUUUAAGCGUUAUGGCAGGGAGACAGUGUAAGAAAAUAUAAACCAACUUAACUAGAUAUCACUUAAAAGCUUCUAUAACUCAUAGCUAGGUGUCUUUUGGUCAAGAAUGAUAUAUGUCUAACUUCUAUGAACCUCAUUAAAAUCCUAACUCUAAAAUUUUACUGUAUAACUAAUUAAUAGAUAAACACUAUGUUUUAACUAAGUUGGAUUAAAAUAGGGGAAAGUCUCUCAGGAUGAAAUUCUUAUUAUAUUAUUGUUGUAAUUUUGUUAAAUCACAAAUCACCACAGGACAGUAAGAAUGGGAAAUAAGAAUAAUAAGUAAAUAAUCAGGAAAGACUGAGAAAAAUUGAAUAACAAAUAAAAUAGCAGGAAAGACUCACCCGAGAAACAAUCCGUGUUCUCCAGUGCAAACAUGGAAAUUGCUUUCCCAGGAAAGCCUUAAUUCUUCCCCAUCAACAUCAAAGUAAGAGCUGUGUAACCUGAGGCCUGCCCUCGGCUUGUACGGUACAGGCAGGCUUUCAUCCUGACCAGAGGCCCACCUUCGGCAUGCACCAUUCAGGUGAGCUUUUUUCCUGACCAAAAGCCCACCUUCAGCUUGUACCGUUCAGGUGAGCUCCCUUUCUUGGUUAAGAAAGGGAGGUUUUUCUGCCAUCAGGCAAGGUCCUUUUUUUGAGUCCCUGCAUUUUCUUGGCUCCCGCAGAGUGAAUAUAAGUGGAGGAUAAAGGGCAUUUUAAGUGUUCAGAUAACAAAUGAGAUGGAGGAGUUCCCCGUUACGGUGCAGCAGAAACAAAUCCGACUAGGGACCAGGAGGUUGCAGGUUUGAUCCCUGGCCUUGCUCCGUGGGGUUAAGGAUCUGGCGUUGCCAUGAGCUGUGGUGUAGGCCGGCAGCUACAGCUCCUAUUAGGCCCCUAGCCUGGGAACCUCCAUGUGCCACAGGUGCGGCAUAAAGACAAAAGACAAAAGCCAAAAAAAACAGAGGUGGAGGUUGGCAGAAGAGUAUGUGUGGAGGACGAUUAGCGGCUGGACUUUGAGCCAUCUGAGUAGAGGUGACACAUUUGCCUGUGAACAAACAGGGAGUUCCCAUUUGGCCUCCGGAUUUCCAGGCUGUGGUGCACUGGUGGCCUGGACCAGGGCGGUCCUGCAAAUAGGAUUUUGGAAGAAAAGUCUUAGGUUGUGGAUACAGGUGGGCCCUGGGGUGAGUGUGGGGUGACCAGUAGCUGGGUGGAGGAAGUCCCUAAGUGGAGAAACAAACUCCAAUGGAUGUGGGGAGCAGGGCCCUGCUCUCAGAUACGGAAGGUGAACAAGUGUGUUAGGGGACAGGGUUUGGGAGGCAGAAGGAGAGGUGGCUGGCAGGACAGAGACUAGGGUUCCAGGUCCAGUGCCCAGAGCUUCAGUCACAUUCAUGUGCCCCUGUCCUGGUUUUGCAGGGCCCAGUGACCUGCAAGGACAAGGUCAUAGGCCUUUUUCAGAAGACGUGGGACUCCUUAGUGAGGCCCAGCGGGGCUUCUGUUGUGAUGUGCUGCUGUCUGCCCCAGGCCAGAGGUCUGUUGUUGCUGUGAGAGGUGCCACCAGCCCUCGUGCUGGCCCGAGAGCUGCUCUCUCUCCUCUGGACUCCUGCGUAAACAAUCCCAACACCUUUGCCCUGGGACCUAGAGAACCACGGUCCAGGGUCAAAAGUACUACAAUCUGAGGAGCAGAUCACAUCCAGCUCUGCGGUUUUUCUGCUCAGGUGACCUAGUCAGGUCUGUGACGUUUCCAUCUCUGGAUCACUGUGGCACUUUUCUGCCAGCUGUCUCUUAUGAGCCUCUUUAUUGGCACCAUGGGCACGAACACGGCCGUUGAUUCUGGGGUCAUUGAGCCCCUGAGGCUUUUCCUGGGUGUUCAUUUUGCAAAGUUGAUUUGUCCCAGAUGCGUAAGUGACCCUCAUCUGCCUUGGUCUGACGUAGGGAGUAUCACCCUGACCUGAGGCCAGCUGACCUCUCACCGAUGCCUGGUGGCCAGGUGGUUAAGGCUCCAGCGUUGUCACUGCUGUGAUGCAGGUUCUAUCUGUCUUUUCUUUUUUUUCUUUUUUUGUCUUUUGUCUUUUUAGGGCCCCACCCACAGCAUAUGGAGGUUCCCAGGCUAGGGAUCGAAUCAGAGCUGCGGCUUCCGGCCUACGCCGGAGCCACAGCAACACCAGAUCUGAGCCGUGUCUGCGACCUACACCACAUCUUAUGGCAACCCUGGAUCCUUAACCCACUGAUUGAGGCCAGGGGUUGAACCCGCAACCUCAUGGUUCCUAGUCGGAUUUGUUUCCACUCCCAGGUUCUAUCAUUUUUUAAUUUUCUUAAUGGUGUCUUUAAAAAUUAAUUUUUUUUGGAGUUCCCAUUGUGGUGCAACAGAAAUUAAUCCAACUAGUAUCCAUGAGGACGCAAGUUUGAUUCCUGGCCUUGCUCAUUGGUGGGGGAUCUGAUCUUACCAUGAGCUGUGGCAUAGGUUGCAGACGCAGCUCGGAUCUCACAUAACUGUGGCUGUGGCCAGCAGCUCUAGCUCCAAUUCAGCUCCUAACCUGGGAACUUCCAUAUGCCGAGGGUGCAGCUCUAAAAAGCAAAAAGAAAAAUAAUAAUAAUUUUUUUUUUUUGGCUGUACCUGUGGCAUGUGGAAGUUCCUUGUGCCAGGGACUGAACCCUCGCCACACCAGCAGCCUGAGCCACUGCAGUGACAACACCAGAUCCUUAAUCUGUUGUUCCACAAGGGAACUCCUUAGUAGUAUCUUUAUUUUUAUUAUUAUUAUUUUUUCUUUUUUGUCUUUUUGCCCUUGCUAGGGCCACUCGCAUGGCAUCUGGAGGUUCCCAGGCUAGGGGUCGAAUCGGAGCUGUAGCCGCCGGCCUACACCACAGCCACAGCAACACGGGAUCCGAGCCGCAUCUGCGACCUACACCACAGCUCAUGGCAAUGCCGGAUCCUUAACCCACUGAGUGAGGCCAGGGAUCGAACCUGCAACCUCAUGGUUCCCAGUCGGAUUCAUUAACCACUGAGCCAUGAUGGGAACUCCGGGUGUGCACUUUCUUAUGACCUGCAGACCUGCACCUCUGCUCCAGCUGUCAGUCAGUUCAAUAUAGGGGAGUCAUUAUCAGUCGUCUGCUCCAUGUCAAGUUACCUGAGUCAUAGAGACUUGGUCACUUUUCCAAAGGCACAUAGCUAAGUCUCCGCUGUGGCGUGCAGUCCAGAGUCUGUUCUCUACCGCCUCACUCUCUCUGGAACACACAUGGGGGUGUUUUGAGCUAUUUGGGGUUUUUUGGCCAUGCCCCCAGCAUGCAGGAUUUCCCAGGCCAGGGAUUAAACCUGCACCACAGCAGUGACAACGCCAGAUCCUAAACCUGCUAGGCCCCCAGGGAACUCUGUUGUGACCUUUAAAUAAAUAAAACAUGGUUUACAUGGAAGCCAUGUACUUAUUUGCCAUCCAUAUAUCUAGUGAAGUGAGUUUUAAAAAUUAUGCUGUCUUAUUGUUACAAGGAUUUUUUUUUUUUUUUUUUUUUUUUUUUUUUUUUUUUUUUUACCAUGACAUCACGGGCAGGUUUAUUUGGGUUUGUUUGUUUGCUUGUUGGCUCGAUUAAAUACUCGUGGAAGGUGAACGUACCCCACACAGGAGAAGUUUGAUGUUGACAAACUUCUGGUGGCAGCGAGACUGUGUCAGCACAACUUCCAGGAUCAGGAUUUUUUAUAUAGUCUAAUAGAGUCAGGGAUCUUGUCAGUAUUUGUUUAGCAGAGGUUUCCCAGUCUCGCUUACAGUUUCAUUUCUUUUUUUUUUUUUUUUCUCUUUAGGGCUGCAUCCUUGGCAUAUGGAAGUUUCCAGACUAGGAGAUGAAUUGGAGCUGCAGUUGUCAGCCUACGCCACAGCCACAGCAAUGCCAGAUCCGAGCCUCGUCUGUGACCUACGCUGCAGCUCACAGCAAUGCCAGAUCCUUAACGCACUGAGAGGGGUCAGGGACUGAACCCAUGUCCUCAUGGAUACUAGUUGGGUUCGUUACUGCUGAGUCACAACAGGAACUCCCAUUUUUAUAUUCUUGAGAGUGACUGUUCAAAUAGAAAGUCUAAAAUUUUGAGGGGGUUCCUGUUGUGGCACAUCAGAAAGGAAUCCACCUAGUAUCAAUGAGGAUGCGGGUUCUAUCCUUGGCCUCGCUCAGCGGGUUGGGGAGUGUGGCAUUGCUGUAAGCUGUGGUGCAGGUCACAGGUGCUGCUCGGAUCCCUCAUUGCUAUGGCUGUGGUGUAGGAUAGCAGCUGUAGCUCUGAUUCAGCACCUAGCCUGGGAACUCCCAUAUCCCGCAGGUGCGGCCCCAAAAAGCAAAAAAUAAAAAUAAA